rnacentral:rRNA from 1 species
UACGAAGGGGGCUAGCGUUGUUCGGAAUUACUGGGCGUAAAGCGUAUGCAGGCGGACUUUUAAGUCGGGGGUGAAAUCCCGAGGCUCAACCUCGGAACUGCCUUCGAUACUGGAAGUCUUGAGUCCGGGAGAGGUGAGUGGAACUCCGAGUGUAGAGGUGAAAUUCGUAGAUAUUCGGAAGAACACCAGUGGCGAAGGCGGCUCACUGGCCCGGUACUGACGCUGAGAUACGAAAGC